GACGAACGCUGGCGGCGUGCCUAAUACAUGCAAGUUGAGCGCUGAAGGUUGGUACUUGUACCAACUGGAUGAGCAGCGAACGGGUGAGUAACGCGUGGGGAAUCUGCCUUUGAGCGGGGGACAACAUUUGGAAACGAAUGCUAAUACCGCAUAAAAACUUUAAACACAAGUUUUAAGUUUGAAAGAUGCAAUUGCAUCACUCAAAGAUGAUCCCGCGUUGUAUUAGCUAGUUGGUGAGGUAAAGGCUCACCAAGGCGAUGAUACAUAGCCGACCUGAGAGGGGGAUCGGCCACAUUGGGACUGAGACACGGCCCAAACUCCUACGGGAGGCAGCAGUAGGGAAUCUUCGGCAAUGGACGAAAGUCUGACCGAGCAACGCCGCGGGAGUGAAGAAGGUUUUCGGAUCGUAAAACUCGGUUGGUAGAGAAGAACGUUGGUGAGAGUGGAAAGCUCAUCAAGUGACGGUAACUACCCAGAAAGGGACGGCUAACUACGUG
rnacentral:rRNA from 1 species